GGGUUGUGAGGUUAAGCGACUAAGCGUACACGGUGGAUGCCCUGGCAGUCAGAGGCGAUGAAGGACGUGCUAAUCUGCGAAAAGCGUCGGUAAGGUGAUAUGAACCGUUAUAACCGGCGAUGUCCGAAUGGGGAAACCCAGUGCAAUUCGUUGCACUAUCGUUAACUGAAUACAUAGGUUAACGAGGCGAACCGGGGGAACUGAAACAUCUAAGUACCCCGAGGAAAAGAAAUCAACCGAGAUUCCCCCAGUAGCGGCGAGCGAACGGGGAGCAGCCCAGAGUCUGAAUCAGCUUGUGUGUUAGUGGAACGGUCUGGAAAGUCCGACGGUACAGGGUGAUAGUCCCGUACACCAAAAUGCACAGGCUGUGAACUCGAAGAGUAGGGCGGGACACGUGGUAUCCUGUCUGAAUAUGGGGGGACCAUCCUCCAAGGCUAAAUACUCCUGACUGACCGAUAGUGAACCAGUACCGUGAGGGAAAGGCGAAAAGAACCCCGGCGAGGGGAGUGAAAAAGAACCUGAAACCGUGUACGUACAAGCAGUGGGAGCACCUUCGGGUGUGACUGCGUACCUUUUGUAUAAUGGGUCAGCGACUUAUAUUCUGUAGCAAGGUUAACCGUAUAGGGGAGCCGCAGGGAAACCGAGUCUUAACUGGGCGUUAAGUUGCAGGGUAUAGACCCGAAACCCGGUGAUCUAGCCAUGGGCAGGUUGAAGGUUGGGUAACACUAACUGGAGGACCGAACCGACUAAUGUUGAAAAAUUAGCGGAUGACUUGUGGCUGGGGGUGAAAGGCCAAUCAAACCGGGAGAUAGCUGGUUCUCCCCGAAAGCUAUUUAGGUAGCGCCUCGUGAACUCAUCUUCGGGGGUAGAGCACUGUUUCGGCUAGGGGGUCAUCCCGACUUACCAACCCGAUGCAAACUACGAAUACCGAAGAAUGUUAUCACGGGAGACACACGGCGGGUGCUAACGUCCGUCGUGAAGAGGGAAACAACCCAGACCGCCAGCUAAGGUCCCAAAGUCAUGGUUAAGUGGGAAACGAUGUGGGAAGGCACAGACAGCCAGGAUGUUGGCUUAGAAGCAGCCAUCAUUUAAAGAAAGCGUAAUAGCUCACUGGUCGAGUCGGCCUGCGCGGAAGAUGUAACGGGGCUAAACCAUGCACCGAAGCUGCGGCAGCGACACUAUGUGUUGUUGGGUAGGGGAGCGUUCUGUAAGCCUGCGAAGGUGUGCUGUGAGGCAUGCUGGAGGUAUCAGAAGUGCGAAUGCUGACAUAAGUAACGAUAAAGCGGGUGAAAAGCCCGCUCGCCGGAAGACCAAGGGUUCCUGUCCAACGUUAAUCGGGGCAGGGUGAGUCGACCCCUAAGGCGAGGCCGAAAGGCGUAGUCGAUGGGAAACAGGUUAAUAUUCCUGUACUUGGUGUUACUGCGAAGGGGGGACGGAGAAGGCUAUGUUAGCCGGGCGACGGUUGUCCCGGUUUAAGCAUGUAGGCUGGUUAUCCAGGCAAAUCCGGAUAAUCAAGGCUGAGGUGUGAUGACGAGGCACUACGGUGCUGAAGUAACAAAUGCCCUGCUUCCAGGAAAAGCCUCUAAGCAUCAGGUAACAUCAAAUCGUACCCCAAACCGACACAGGUGGUCAGGUAGAGAAUACCAAGGCGCUUGAGAGAACUCGGGUGAAGGAACUAGGCAAAAUGGUGCCGUAACUUCGGGAGAAGGCACGCUGGUGUGUAGGUGAAGCCCCUGCGGGUGGAGCUGAGACCAGUCGAAGAUACCAGCUGGCUGCAACUGUUUAUUAAAAACACAGCACUGUGCAAACACGAAAGUGGACGUAUACGGUGUGACGCCUGCCCGGUGCCGGAAGGUUAAUUGAUGGGGUUAUCCGUAAGGAGAAGCUCUUGAUCGAAGCCCCGGUAAACGGCGGCCGUAACUAUAACGGUCCUAAGGUAGCGAAAUUCCUUGUCGGGUAAGUUCCGACCUGCACGAAUGGCGUAAUGAUGGCCAGGCUGUCUCCACCCGAGACUCAGUGAAAUUGAACUCGCUGUGAAGAUGCAGUGUACCCGCGGCAAGACGGAAAGACCCCGUGAACCUUUACUAUAGCUUGACACUGAACAUUGAGCCUUGAUGUGUAGGAUAGGUGGGAGGCUUUGAAGCGUGGACGCCAGUCUGCGUGGAGCCAACCUUGAAAUACCACCCUUUAAUGUUUGAUGUUCUAACGUUGGCCCCUUACCGGGGUUGCGGACAGUGUCUGGUGGGUAGUUUGACUGGGGCGGUCUCCUCCCAAAGCGUAACGGAGGAGCACGAAGGUUAGCUAAUCCUGGUCGGACAUCAGGAGGUUAGUGCAAUGGCAUAAGCUAGCUUGACUGCGAGCGUGACGGCGCGAGCAGGUGCGAAAGCAGGUCAUAGUGAUCCGGUGGUUCUGAAUGGAAGGGCCAUCGCUCAACGGAUAAAAGGUACUCCGGGGAUAACAGGCUGAUACCGCCCAAGAGUUCAUAUCGACGGCGGUGUUUGGCACCUCGAUGUCGGCUCAUCACAUCCUGGGGCUGAAGUAGGUCCCAAGGGUAUGGCUGUUCGCCAUUUAAAGUGGUACGCGAGCUGGGUUUAGAACGUCGUGAGACAGUUCGGUCCCUAUCUGCCGUGGGCGCUGGAGAAUUGAGGGGGGCUGCUCCUAGUACGAGAGGACCGGAGUGGACGCAUCACUGGUGUUCGGGUUGUCAUGCCAAUGGCACUGCCCGGUAGCUAAAUGCGGAAGAGAUAAGUGCUGAAAGCAUCUAAGCACGAAACUUGCCCCGAGAUGAGUUCUCCCUGAGACUUUAAGUCUCCUGAAGGAACGUUGAAGACGACGACGUUGAUAGGCCGGGUGUGUAAGCGCAGCGAUGCGUUGAGCUAACCGGUACUAAUGAACCGUGAGGCUUAACCUUACAACGCCGAAG
rnacentral:rRNA from 1 species